AGUGAACGCUGGCGGUAGGCCUAACACAUGCAAGUCGAACGGCAGCACAGUAAGAGCUUGCUCUUACGGGUGGCGAGUGGCGGACGGGUGAGGAAUACAUCGGAAUCUACUUUUUCGUGGGGGAUAACGUAGGGAAACUUACGCUAAUACCGCAUACGACCUAUGGGUGAAAGCAGGGGAUCUUCGGACCUUGCGCGAUUGAAUGAGCCGAUGUCGGAUUAGCUAGUUGGCGGGGUAAAGGCCCACCAAGGCGACGAUCCGUAGCUGGUCUGAGAGGAUGAUCAGCCACACUGGAACUGAGACACGGUCCAGACUCCUACGGGAGGCAGCAGUGGGGAAUAUUGGACAAUGGGCGCAAGCCUGAUCCAGCCACACCGCGUGGGUGAAGAAGGCCUUCGGGUUGUAAAGCCCUUUUGUUGGGAAAGAAAAGCAGCAGGUUAAUACCCCGCUGUUCUGACGGUACCCAAAGAAUAAGCACCGGCUAACUUCGUG
rnacentral:rRNA from 1 species